GUGGGGAAUAUUGGACAAUGGGCGAAAGCCUGAUCCAGCCAUGCCGCGUGUGUGAAGAAGGCCUUCGGGUCGUAAAGCACUUUAAGUUGGGAGGAAGGGCUCAUAGCGAAUACCUGUGAGUUUUGACGUUACCAACAGAAUAAGCACCGGCUAACUUCGUGCCAGCAGCCGCGGUAAUACGAAGGGUGCAAGCGUUAAUCGGAAUUACUGGGCGUAAAGCGCGCGUAGGUGGCUUGAUAAGUUGGAUGUGAAAUCCCCGGGCUCAACCUGGGAACUGCAUCCAAAACUGUCUGGCUAGAGUGCGGUAGAGGGUAGUGGAAUUUCCAGUGUAGCGGUGAAAUGCGUAGAUAUUGGAAGGAACACCAGUGGCGAAGGCGACUACCUGGACUGACACUGACACUGAGGUGCGAAAGCGUGGGGAGCAAACAGGAUUAGAAACCCUAGUAGUCC
rnacentral:rRNA from 1 species